CAUUUUACUUGGGAAUUUUUUGCAAGAAACGACUGCCUGCCAGAAACCCACAGCACUCGAUGUCAGACAGUCAGCUGCAGCAGAAGUUGAUGUUCGCUAAUGA